rnacentral:rRNA from 1 species
UUAUUAAAUACAGGUAAAGCUGCUACGUACUCAAUGGUUGAUAGAUUACUACGGUUGGUCAUAACUCUUCCCGUGUCAACCGCAACAACCAAGCAAGCCUUUUCAUCUAUGAAACUAGUCAAGACACGUCUUCGAAACAGAAUGGGAGACGACUUUCUUCGGCAUUACAUGGUCUGUCUAUAUUAG